rnacentral:misc_RNA from 1 species
UUAAUCAGUGGACUGUCAUAUUUGUUUUCAAAUGUGCGAAUCAGGAAGCAACAUCUAGCAUGACAGGAUUUAUUAAGUAUUUUGGCCUGGGUGCCAUACUUUCUGCAGUACAAGUUACGGGGAUAAAUUUCACUAUUUCAAGGGAUAAGGUUGUUGUUGGAAGUACCGGAACGUUAACAAUGAGAUGUGAUGUCACUGAAACCGAUGUUAACACCAUUUACAUUAUUCAGAUACGACGAGAAACUACGCCAGGAUCAGGUAUUUUCGAAUCAGUAGUGCGAAUGGAGAAAGGAGAUGCAACGUCUGAAACUCCUACAUUAAGCCAAGAAAUUAACAACAACAAAGAUUUUGUUGCUGGAGGCAGUUAUGAUGAGAGUACACCCAGUAACACAUACCUGACAGUGAGCAUGAAUAUAAGCAAGUUGGUGUGCAACGAUGCAAGGGCUUACAUGUGUGAAAUGUCAUAUAAAAGAAAUGCUGGUAGUGUAGUUUCAGUGGAAAAUAAUGGUACCUUUUCAGCCUAUGUGUACCCUCAAAUAAGUCUGUUAGAAGGGAGGAGAAAUGGUGUUAUAGUACAGGGAUUGUCAUCUUCAAAUCAAGCAGCAUUUGAUGUUGGUGAUGUACUGGAACUUUCUUGCACCGCUACUAUUGGAAGUUUACCAGCAACUACAAUCAGAUGGCGAAAGACUUCUGAAAUGGGACAAACAGAUCACUUUAUAGGGUAUCAGCCACCAGCAGGAUCAUUUAAUAAGGGCACUGCAAUAAGUGACAAUCAGUGUGGUUAUACCCGAAUAGCAACAGUUACAUACAACACUACAGUCGCUGAUGCAAAUAGGGAUACCAACCUAGCAUUUGAGUGCUAUGUUUCUGUUAGUGGAAGUCCAUAUGGAACAACAUAUACAACACAAAACAAUCCUAGGUUUUAUGCUGAUGUCAGUGGUGGUGACCAGGCAAACGGAGAUGGCGGUGAUCAGGCAAACAUAGGUGGCGGUGAUCAUGCAAACGGAGGGGACGAGGGAAUAUCUGACAAUAAAGUGACUAAACGGGAUUUAACAGCAGGAGCAAUUGGUGGUGUGAUUGUUGCUGUGGUCAUUCUUGGAGUAGUUAUUAUUGUUGCCAUUGUGCGAAGACAGUUAACAACAGACGAAGCACCCAGAACUAGGUUUCAAACGGAAAAUAGUACCAUUGGUAACAAUGUAAUACAAUCACGACCUCAACCAGAAAUUGGACAGAAUGACCAGUCUUCUACACCAAAAUGUUUCCCAUGAUAAGACUUUUGUCGUGGACAUGAACCAUGGUUGUCGGUCAAAGGUCAAGGUCACUAUUGAAGGGGCAUGUAUGAACAUCUGCAAAAUACUGUAGAAAUGAAAAAUAAGUAUGUAUAUGAUUCCCU